GCCUGGGUGGCUCAGUUGGUUGAGCACCUGAUUUCGGCUCAGGUCAUGAUCUCACAGUUUGUGAGUUCGAGCCCCACGUCGGGCU
rnacentral:tRNA from 1 species